UACGUAGGGAGCGAGCGUUAUCCGGAAUUAUUGGGUGUAAAGGGAGCGUAGACGGCUGUGCAAGCCAGAUGUGAAAGCCCGGGGCUCAACCCCGGGACUGCAUUUGGAACUGUGUAGCUGGAGUGUCGGAGAGGCAGGCGGAAUUCCUAGUGUAGCGGUGAAAUGCGUAGAUAUUAGGAGGAACACCAGUGGCGAAGGCGGCCUGCUGGACGAUGACUGACGUUGAGGCUCGAAAGCGUGGGGAGCAAACAGG
rnacentral:rRNA from 1 species